ACUUGUAGCGUCAACCGCGCAUGUGCAAAGCCAAUUAUUGCGCAAUCGGUGUUUUCGCUAAAACCUGACCCGGAAAUUUAGCAUAUUUUAUACGCGUCAAUGCGAAGAAAAGAAAGGUUAACCAAAUGAAAUAUUAGCAUAAAUGGGUGGGAUUAAGUCCAAAUAUGGCGUAUAUGACCUACAUAUUAUAUAAAUGCUGAUUUUUAGUAGGGAGAAUAAGGUUUGAAAACUAAACAAAUCGGGAUUUUGUUGAAAACGGCCAUAUACGCGGAUCUUUCUGUGGUUUUAAUGAAGUUUGAUCAUCAUUCUAAAUAAAAUGGGUAACAUUUACACCGUAUUUAACCGUAAUAUAUGUGAAUUUAGGUUAUUUUCAAUAUUGGUGCGCGACCGCGAGGGGAGUUAAGAAUGGAUAAAAUUACCUCCCCUGCCAAUCGAGCACUUUCUAAUGUGGACGUUUCCGGAACGAUUGCAAACAAAAAUUAAUGCGUAUUACUUCGUAAUUGCAACAGCGAUUUGUAUCUGGUAGAUGACAAUAUUGCCGUUUGGUGCAGAAGAAACUCACUGACUCCGUGACAGAGUGUGUCCGCCUCGGGCUGGUUCAACUUUGAUGGCAAAGAAUAUAAAGGAUUUGUUAUAUCAGUGGUUCCCAGCUUUGGAGAAUGGUAUAAUGUUAAAUAUGACAAUGAUGAUGCUAUUUAUGCAUAUAACUUAUGUCAGGAUUACAAACAAGGUAUUUCUGUCUUGGCGCGGCGCACUUCGAUUCAUCUUAGCAGCACACUAAGAAGUUGCCUGGUCCAAUAAAAGAUACGGGAUAGGUAUUUCUGUCUUGGCGCGGCGCACUUCGAUUCAUCUUAGCAGCAUACUAAGAAGUUGCUUGGUCCAAUACAAGAUACAGGAUAGGUCAGUGAUGGUUAUAGAAGCAGUCAGGAGUGAAUUGUGCACUGGAAAAACAUUCUAGAGUGGAAUAAAAAACUUGGGUCAGCUUUUUGUGAAAAGUGAAAAAAGUGACUUUCCGAAUGUUGAUUUUUUGCAUAAUCUGGAGUUGUUAAAUUCUAUGUGCUUUGACAUAACAUAAUAAAAGUAUACAUUUUUGUUAUAA